UGAAAGAGAGUGAGUUGGUUGACUGGCAUGUUAGGUACUUUAAGUUGUUGUUCGUCCAUGUCUUUAAUGUUAAUCUCUGGAUGAUGGCUGGGCGUUAUGGAG